rnacentral:rRNA from 1 species
GACGAACCGUGCGAACGUUGUUCGGAAUCACUGGGCUUAAAGGGCGCGUAGGCGGGUGACCAAGUCCUGGGUGAAAUCCUCCGGCUUAACCGGAGAAGUGCCUGAGAUACUGGUCGUCUGGAGGGAGGUAGGGGCAGCUGGAACUUCCGGUGGAGCGGUGAAAUGCGUUGAUAUCGGAAGGAACGCCGGUGGCGAAAGCGAGCUGCUGGACCUCUUCUGACGCUGAGGCGCGAAAGCCAGGGGAGCAAACGGG